AGUGAACGCUGGCGGUAGGCCUAACACAUGCAAGUCGAACGGCAGCACAGUAAGAGCUUGCUCUUACGGGUGGCGGGUGGCGGACGGGUGAGGAAUACAUCGGAAUCUACUUUUUCGUGGGGGAUAACGUAGGGAAACUUACGCUAAUACCGCAUACGACCUACGGGUGAAAGCAGGGGAUUUUCGGACCUUGCGCGAUUGAAUGAGCCGAUGUCGGAUUAGCUAGUUGGCGGGGUAAAGGCCCACCAAGGCGACGAUCCGUAGCUGGUCUGAGAGGAUGAUCAGCCACACUGGAACUGAGACACGGUCCAGACUCCUACGGGAGGCAGCAGUGGGGAAUAUUGGACAAUGGGCGCAAGCCUGAUCCAGCCAUACCGCGUGGGUGAAGAAGGCCUUCGGGUUGUAAAGCCCUUUUGUUGGGAAAGAAAAGCAGCAGGUUAAUACCCCGCUGUUCUGACGGUACCCAAAGAAUAAGCACCGGCUAACUUCGUG
rnacentral:rRNA from 1 species